rnacentral:rRNA from 1 species
UACGUAGGCAGCAAGCGUUGUUCGGAAUUACUGGGCGUAAAGAGUGUGUAGGCGGUUUUCUAAGUCUGUCGUGAAAUCUCCCGGCUUAACUGGGAGGGUGCGGCUGGAACUGGAAGGCUCGAGGAUGGGAGAGGAAAGCGGAAUUCCUGGUGUAGCGGUGAAAUGCGUAGAUAUCAGGAGGAACACCCGUGGUGUAGACAGCUUUCUGGACCAUUUCUGACGCUGAGACACGAAAGCGUGGGUAGCAAACAGG